CUGCUAGUAGUUCCACUUGCAGAGAAUAAUUGAUCCAUGUUGCAAGAAGAAGACUAACGAUGAAAUCAAUAGCCCCUUAAGGAUUCUGCCAAUGCUAUAUACUGAACACUAUAGAAGCCACGAAGACCGACAGGGCCCUUUCCCUUCCCUUAUUUUAAAAUUCGAGGGGGUCGAAAGCGGGAGAAAAAGUAACCACUAGUAGGGAUAUGGAUGGAGUCUCACUCAGUAAAGAGAGUUAAAGAUUCCUAAGAUCACGACAAAGUGUACUUGACUUUGGAUUAGACACAAGUAUUUAGUCACAGAUCACAUUUGUUCUUGCCUCUCAAAUCUCAAUCAACUACCAGUGUAUGUUGUUUCAGAAAAUUUAUAAUUUGUCUUUUGACCCACAAUAGAAAAUGUCCAACUCCGCCACUAAGCCCCCGUUUGGCCCCCAUUUUUGACAAUGAAAAUGGGAGGAAUAGUGUUUUGUUGAAAAAAUGAGUGGUUGAAAAAGAAGGAAAAAUUAUCGAUUUACGUGUAAUAAUAUUUUAUGGAAGAUUGUGUGAUUGAAAAUAGGAGAAGGAAAAAUAGAAUAUAAUGGAAUGUAAUUUAAUGGGAUCAAACAGAGGCUAAAUCUUGUACAAAUGUUGAUUCCAUGAUAGGAAAACAACCUUGAGUUGGUAAGAAGUUAUUA
rnacentral:lncRNA from 1 species